GCCAGAGGUGGUGGCACACACCUGUACUCCCAGCUACUUGGGAGGCUGAGACAGGAUUGCUUGAGUCCAGGAGUUCUGGGCUGUAGUGCACUAUGCCAGUCGGGUGUCUGCACUAAGUUUGGCAUCAUUAUGGUGAGCUCCCGGGAGUGAAGGGCCACCAGGUUGCCUAAGGAGGGGUGAACCAGCCCAAGUCAGAAACAGAGCAGGCUAAAACUCCUGUGCUGAUCAGUAGUGGGUUUGCACCUAUGAAUAGCCACUACACUCCAGCCUGGGCAACACAGCAAGACCCUGUCUCUA
rfam:Otolemur garnettii contig003416, whole genome shotgun sequence.